CCUACGGGUGGCAGCAGUGAGGAAUAUUGGUCAAUGGCCGGAAGGCUGAACCAGCCAUGCCGCGUGAAGGUCAGUGCCCUAUGGGCGUUAAACUUCUUUUGUGCGGGAGCAAUAAUGGUCACGUGUGGCCAGACGAGAGUACCGUACGAAUAAGCAUCGGCUAACUCCGUGCCAGCAGCCGCGGUCAUACGGGGGAUGCAAGCGUUAUCCGGAUUUAUUGGGUUUAAAGGGUGCGUAGGCUGGGGGUUAAGUCCGCGGUGAAAUGUCUCGGCUCAACGGGGUGCACGGCCAUUGAUUAUGGCGGGCUGGAAUGCGCAUGCAGAGGGAGGAAUGUGUGGUGUAGCGGUGAAAUGCAUAGAUAUCACACAGAACACCGAUUGCGAAGGCAGCUCACG
rnacentral:rRNA from 1 species